rnacentral:rRNA from 1 species
CCUACGGGACGCAGCAGUGAGGAAUAUUGGUCAAUGGACGAGAGUCUGAACCAGCCAAGUAGCGUGAAGGAUGACUGCCCUAUGGGUUGUAAACUUCUUUUAUAUGGGAAUAAAAUGUUCCACGUGUGGGAUUUUGUAUGUACCAUAUGAAUAAGGAUCGGCUAACUCCGUGCCAGCAGCCGCGGUAAUACGGAGGAUCCGAGCGUUAUCCGGAUUUAUUGGGUUUAAAGGGUGCGUAGGUGGAUUGUUAAGUAAGUUGUGAUAGUUUGCG